GCCCCCGUGGUGUAGCCCGGUCAAUCAUUCAGCCCUUUCGAGGCUGGGACUCGAGUUCAAAUCUCGACGGGGGCA
rnacentral:tRNA from 1 species